rnacentral:rRNA from 1 species
UACGUAGGGGGCAAGCGUUGUCCGGAAUCAUUGGGCGUAAAGAGCGCGUAGGCGGUCCGGUAAGUCGGUUGUGAAAACUGGGGGGCUCAACCCUCAGAGGCCGACCGAUACUGCCGGGCUAGAGUCCGGAAGAGGCGAGUGGAAUUCCUGGUGUAGCGGUGAAAUGCGCAGAUAUCAGGAGGAACACCAAUGGCGAAGGCAGCUCGCUGGGACGGUACUGACGCUGAGGCGCGAAAGCGUGGGGGAGCAAACAGG